rnacentral:misc_RNA from 1 species
GAUGAAGAACGUAGCGAAAUGCGAUAAGUAAUGUGAAUUGCAGAAUUCAGUGAAUCAUCGAAUCUUUGAACGCACAUUGCGCCCGCCAGUAUUCUGGCGGGCAUGCCUGUUCGAGCGUCAUUUCAACCCUCAAGCCCAGCUUGGUGUUGGGGAUCGGCACAGGCGCCCUCGGGCGCCCGCCGUCCCCUAAAUCUAGUGGCGGUCCCGCUGCAGCCUCCUCUGCGUAGUAGUUUUCUCCUCGCAAGGGCAGCUCGGUGGCGACCUCGCCGUAAAACCCCCAACUUCUGAAAGGUUGACCUCGAAUCAGGUAGGAAUACCCGCUGAACUUAAGCAUAUCAAUAAGCGAGGA